AGGUAAUGGAUCGGUAGCGGAGCGUUCCGUAAGCCUGUGAAGGUGAACCGCGAGGUUUGCUGGAGGUAUCGGAAGUAGAGAAUGCUGACAUGAGUAGCGACAAUGCGGGCGAGAAACCCGCACGCCGAAAGUCCAAGGGUUCCUGCGCAAGGUUAAUCCGGCGCAGGGUUAGCCGGCCCCUAAGGCGAGGGCGAAAGCCGUAGUCGAUGGGAACGGGGUGAAUAUUCCCCGGCCUGCUGGUGGUGACGAAGGCCAGGUUCCGUAUUCCCUUACUGGAUUGGGAGUGCGUAUGAGGCCUUCCGGGAAAUAGCCCCAGCAUAUAGACCGUACCCGAAACCGACACAGGUGGACUGGUAGAGUAUACCAAGGCGCUUGAGAGAACGAUGUUGAAGGAACUCGGCAAAUUGCUCCCGUAACUUCGGAAGAAGGGAGACCCCUUUCCUGGGCAACCAGGAGGGGGUGGCACAGACCAGGGGG
rnacentral:rRNA from 1 species